GUCCACGCUGUAAACGAUGGGCACUAGGCGUCGGGGGAGCGACCCUCCCGGUGCCGUCGCUAACGCAAUAAGUGCCCCGCCUGGGGAGUACGGCCGCAAGGUUGAAACUCAAAGGAAUUGACGGGGGCCCGCACAAGCGGUGGAGCAUGUGGUUUAAUUCGAUGCAACGCGAAGAACCUUACCUGGGCUUGACAUGUACGUGAAAGCCGGUGGAAACACCGGUCCUCCUUCGGGACGCGUACACAGGUGCUGCAUGGCUGUCGU
rnacentral:rRNA from 1 species